rnacentral:rRNA from 1 species
UAGGGAAUCUUCGGCAAUGGACGGAAGUCUGACCGAGCAACGCCGCGUGAGUGAAGAAGGUUUUCGGAUCGUAAAGCUCUGUUGUAAGAGAAGAACGAGUGUGAGAGUGGAAAGUUCACACUGUGACGGUAUCUUACCAGAAAGGGACGGCUAACUACGUGCCAGCAGCCGCGGUAAUACGUAGGUCCCGAGCGUUGUCCGGAUUUAUUGGGCGUAAAGCGAGCGCAGGCGGUUAGAUAAGUCUGAAGUUAAAGGCUGUGGCUUAACCAUAGUACGCUUUGGAAACUGUUUAACUUGAGUGCAAGAGGGGAGAGUGGAAUUCCAUGUGUAGCGGUGAAAUGCGUAGAUAUAUGGAGGAACACCAGUGGCGAAAGCGGCUCUCUGGCUUGUAACUGACGCUGAGGCUCGAAAGCGUGGGGAGCAAACAGGAUUAGAUACCCUGGUAGUCCACGCCGUAAACGAUGAGUGCUAGGUGUUAGACCCUUUCCGGGGUUUAGUGCCGCAGCUAACGCAUUAAGCACUCCGCCUGGGGAGUACGACCGCAAGGUU